AUCAGCCUGGCGUGCCAGCCCAAAGUCCAGGAUCUGGAGAACAACUGGUAUCUUGUAAGAUACCUACCUCUCUGGAUUUCAGAAGCAGACCAGUAGCAGAAAAGAGGCUUCUGAAGACAGCACAAGAUCCAAGAUGUGAAGCUCGGCCCCCAGUCCCGGUACAGGGCACAUAUCAGUGUCCGCACCCUUGAUCAGCCUGUCAACAAUGACUAUCUGCAACAGUUCUCCAAUCCCAGGUACCUGGAUGCUGCCACGGUCGAGACUCUAACGUCUCAUCUCCAAGCCCUACCUAUAUUCUGAGAUCUUUUGUUGGGUAAACUUGUAGACAAA
rnacentral:sRNA from 1 species